GACAGAGGUGCCGAGCGUUAGGCGGAAUCACUGGGCUUAAAGCGUGUGUAGGCGGGCGAUCAAGUACCUUGUGAAAUCCCACGGCUCAACCGUGGAACCGCUGGGUAUACUGGUUGUCUUGAGCCGGCUAGGGGCGAGCGGAACAGACGGUGGAGCGGUGAAAUGCGUAGAUAUCGUCUGGAACGCCGAAGGUGAAAACAGCUCGCUGGGGCCGCGCUGACGCUGAGACACGAAAGCCAGGGGAGCGAACGGG
rnacentral:rRNA from 2 species